GAUGAACGCUGGCGGCGUACCUAACACAUGCAAGUCGAGCGGCAGCGAGGGGUGCUUGCACCCUGUCGGCGAGCGGCGGACGGCUGAGUAACGCGUGGGAACGUGCCCCAAAGUGAGGAAUAACUGCCCGAAAGGGUAGCUAAUACCGCAUAUUAUCUUCGGAUCAAAGGAUUUAUCCGCUUUGGGAGCGGCUCGCGUCGGAUUAGGUAGUUGGUGAGGUAAUGGCUCACCAAGCCGACGAUCCGUAGCUGGUCUGAGAGGAUGACCAGCCAGACUGGAACUGAGACACGGUCCAGACUCCUACGGGAGGCAGCAGUGAGGAAUCUUCCACAAUGGGCGAAAGCCUGAUGGAGCAACGCCGCGUGCAGGACGAAGGCCUUCGGGUUGUAAACUGCUUUUAUAAGUGAGGAAUAUGACGGUAACUUAUGAAUAAGGAUCGGCUAACUGCGUG
rnacentral:rRNA from 1 species